rnacentral:misc_RNA from 1 species
CCGAGUUGAAAGACUCCAAACCAUCGCGAACCUACCACUGUGUUGCCUCGGCGGGCGGCUCCAGGGCGGAGCCCCCGGCCCCCCUCGGGGGGGUGCCCGCCGAAGGCCCCCCAGACGCACUGUCGUAUCUAGGCUACUCUGAGUACCUGCGCAAGCAGUAA